UCACGUCUUACGACGGCAGUUUCACUAGAGUUCCCAGCGUUACCUGAUGGCAACUAGUGAUGGGGGUUGCGCUCGUUGCGGGACUUAACCCAACAUCUCACGACACGAGCUGACGACAACCAUGCACCACCUGUCACCGCUGUCCCCGAAGGGAAGGGCACAUCUCUGUGCCGGUCAGCGGGAUGUCAAGCCCUGGUAAGGUUCUUCGCGUUGCUUCGAAUUAAACCACAUGCUCCACCGCUUGUGCGGGCCCCCGUCAAUUCCUUUGAGUUUCAGCCUUGCGGCCGUACUCCCCAGGCGGAGUGCUUAAUGGGUUACCUUCGGCACUGAGGAGUCAAACCUCCCCAACACCUAGCACUCAUCGUUUACGGCGUGGACUAC
rnacentral:misc_RNA from 1 species